GACGCUGUGGCCUGCACUUGAACUGUUGGUUUAUAUAUACUUCAAGGCUACCAAAUUCUGUAGCUAGUGACGUUGGGAAGCGAUUGCGAUGCUCUGCAUGGCACCACGGCGCGCUUGUUUCCACAGCAGGGUAGUACCCAUCUUGCAGGUAGACAUUUAAUAUACGGACAGCUGCGGCGAAAAUACGAGGAUAUUGCCACAGUCACACCAAACCCCGUGGCGUGAAGUUCCACUGUUCCAGAGCCUGGUAACGGGAUCCGGUGGCCAGUAUAGAACUCAGCAGAAAUUUCACCGCUAUACAGUCGCUCAUGGCCAGAUGUUCAUCUUUUCCAGAGGGUCCUGACGCAGACAAUCACGAAUACAUGGUGCAACAGUUCGAAGCGAUGCAGAAUCGGCUUCGUUCCAAUCGCUCACCAUCGGAUACCGAGGAGGAGGAUUCUGAUUCGAAUAUUCAUCCGGUGUGCGACGCAGAAAUUGCGUUUGAAUUCGUCAACGAUAAGUUGGAGGAAGAGUUGAUUAAAAGGGCUCGCUCCCAUCGCCAGCCAUCUGCAACCAGCGAGAAGA